UACGGAGGGGGCUAGCGUUGUUCGGAAUUACUGGGCGUAAAGCGCACGUAGGCGGCUUUGUAAGUUAGAGGUGAAAGCCCAGGGCUUAACUCUGGAAUUGCCUUUAAGACUGCAUCGCUAGAAUCGUGGAGAGGUGAGUGGAAUUCCGAGUGUAGAGGUGAAAUUCGUAGAUAUUCGCAAGAACACCAGUGGCGAAGGCGGCUCACUGGCCCGAUACUGACGCUGAGGCACGAAAGCGUGGGGAGCAAACAGG
rnacentral:rRNA from 1 species